rnacentral:tRNA from 1 species
GUUGAGGUGGCAGAGCACGGCAUAUUGCAAAAGGCCUAAGCCCUUUGAACAGGGGUUCAAGUCCCCUCCCCAACU